CAGUCGCCGCGGUAAUACAGAGGGUGCGAGCGUUAAUCGGAUUUACUGGGCGUAAAGCGUGCGUAGGCGGCUUCUUAAGUCGGAUGUGAAAUCCCUGAGCUUAACUUAGGAAUUGCAUUCGAUACUGGGAAGCUAGAGUAUGGGAGAGGAUGGUAGAAUUCCAGGUGUAGCGGUGAAAUGCGUAGAGAUCUGGAGGAAUACCGAUGGCGAAGGCAGCCAUCUGGCCUAAUACUGACGCUGAGGUACGAAAGCAUGGGGAGCAAACAGGAUUAGAUACCCCCGUAGUCCCUGUCUCUUAUCC
rnacentral:rRNA from 1 species